rnacentral:lncRNA from 1 species
GAAACAACGAAUCUAGGCCAACACGACGGCGAAGAAGCUCCCCACCAAAGCGGUUCCAGCAACAGCUGCCCACCCUGGAGCGUAAGCACCGCUGGGAACGUCAGCAGCCGGCUCGGCUGCGGGCCCGGACCCGGUGCUGGGUGCAGGUGGGGAUGAGGUCGGUGUGGAGGAGAUAGGAGUCGUGGCGGGUGAAGUUGCUGGUGCAGUUGAGGUUGCAGGUGAAGGUGUAGUCGCAGUAGGUGCUGGUGCAGGUGCGGCCACGGUGGGUGUUGGUGCCGGUGUGGCUGCGGGUGGUGAGGUGGUGGGAGCGGCGGUGGGUGCAAGCUUGGGUGAAGCUGCGGGUGACUGUGCCAAACAAGAGGUGGCCAACAGACCCAAGAUCACAAACACUACUUGAACUCUUCCGAAACCCAUCUUCUUCUGAAAGAGGCAGAGAAUUUUGAAACACAGGGGAAGAGAGGAAAGCGAGGAAGAAGAAGAAGAUGAAGAGGGUUUGGGAGUGAGUGAGGGAGGGUUUCAAAAGGAGUGGAGAAUAUAAAAAGGGCUAGGAGUCCUGAAGAAAGUGGAGAGACAAUGCUUGGUAU